rnacentral:rRNA from 1 species
UACGAAGGGUGCAAACGUUGCUCGGAAUCAUUGGGCGUAAAGCGCACGUAGGCGGCCCGAUAAGUCGGAUGUGAAAUCCCUCGGCUCAACCGAGGACGUGCAUUCGAAACUGUCGGGCUCGAGUAUGGAAGAGGGUCGCGGAAUUCCCGGUGUAGAGGUGAAAUUCGUAGAUAUCGGGAGGAACACCAGUGGCGAAGGCGGCGACCUGGGCCAAUACUGACGCUGAGGUGCGAAAGCGUGGGGAGCAAA